UUCUGGCUCAGGACGAACGCUGGCGGCGUGCCUAAUACAUGCAAGUCGAACGGUCUUUCUAUGGAAGCUUGCUUCCACUGAGAAGAUAGUGGCGAACGGGUGAGUAACACGUGGGUAACCUGCCCAUAAGAGGGGGGAUAACAUCCGGAAACGGGUGCUAAUACCGCAUAGUUUUCUUGAUCGCAUGAUCGGGAAAGGAAAGACGGCCUUUGUGCUGUCGCUUAUGGAUGGACCCGCGGCGUAUUAGUUAGUUGGUGAGGUAACGGCUCACCAAGACGAUGAUACGUAGCCGACCUGAGAGGGUGAUCGGCCACAUUGGGACUGGGACACGGCCCAAACUCCUACGGGAGGCAGCAGUAGGGAAUCUUCCGCAAUGGACGAAAGUCUGACGGAGCAGCGCCGCGUGAGUGAAGAAAGGUUUUCGGAUCGUAAAACUCUGUUGUCAGAGAAGAACAAGUUGGAGAGUAACUGCUCCAGCCUUGACGGUAUCUGACCAGAAAGCCACGGCUAACUACGUGCCAGCAGCCGC
rnacentral:rRNA from 1 species